CUGGCGGAACGGGCAAUCGCUGGCCGGUUCAGGAAUGAACCGGCUGGAGGAAAGUCCGGUCUCCAAAGAGCAGUGUGCCGGCUAACGGCCGGGGGGGCUCGUUCAAAACGGGUUUCACGGAAAGUGCCACAGAGAAUAUACCGCCAAGGCGCCCGCAAGGGUUGUCGGGGUAAGGGUGAAAAGGUGCGGUAAGAGCGCACCGUGCCGGCAGCAAUGCGGGCUGCAAGGCAAACCCCACACGGAGCAAGACCAAAUAGGGGUGAAGGGGCGGCUCGUCCUGUUCGACACCCGGGUAGGUUGCUAGAGCUUGUCAGUAAUGACUUGCCCAGAGGAAUGAUUGCCAUCUUUCUUCGGAAAGAUACAGAAACCGGCUUACAGUUCCGCCAGUGCU
rnacentral:RNase_P_RNA from 1 species